CCUACGGGAGGCAGCAGUGGGGAAUUUUCUGUAAUGGGCGAAAGCCUGACAGAGCAAUACCGCGUGAGGGAUGACAGCCCUAUGGGUUGUAAACCUCUUUUUUCAGGGAGGAAGUUCUGACGUUACCUGAAGAAUAAGCAUCGGCUAACUCCGUGCCAGCAGCCGCGGUAAU
rnacentral:rRNA from 1 species